rnacentral:rRNA from 1 species
CCUACGGGUGGCAGCAGUGGGGAAUAUUGCACAAUGGGGGAAACCCUGAUGCAGCGAUGCCGCGUGAAUGAAGAAGGCCUUCGGGAUGUAAAGCUCUAUCAGUAGGGAAGAAAAUGACGGGGCUAGUUUAAUUAGCCAUGGACAACAACGAGAGAGCAGCCGCGGUAAUACGUAGGGUGCAAGCGUUAUGCGGAUUUACUGGGUGUAAAGGGAACGUAGACGGCUGAUCAAGUCAGGUGUGAAAGGCCGGGGCUUAACCCGGGAAUUGCUUUUGAUACUGGGCAGCUAGAGUGCAGUAGAGGUAAGUGGAAUUCCUAGUGUAGCGGUGAAAUGCGUAGAUAUUAGGAGGAACACCAGUGGCGAAGGCGGCUUACUGGACUGUGACUGACGUUGAGGCUCGAAAGCGUGGGGAGCAAACAGGAUUAGAUACCCUUGUAGUC